UCUGCUACUGCGAAGAGGAAUAUAAACAAGAUGGAGACUCAUCCUGCCAACCAGGGCACUUCAGAGAUCUCUUGGUCUGAUACACUCGCCAAGUCCUCCAGCCACCCGUUGGCAACCCCAACCUGUACCAGACCACUGGGCUGAAAGGAGCACAGAAGAGGGGGCAGCUGGAAGGAAAGCUGAACAAGUGCUAUCCCAAACCUGCUUUUCCCAUUAUGAAUGUCUUAUGAAGAGGUGAUCUCCUUAGCUGCCUUGCUGCAAAAAGACAGCAAGAAUUUCUGGGUACUUCAACAUGCCUUUCUAACCUCAACAGCACUGACUGCUUGUUUUUUUAAAUGGAAUAAAAAUCUGUUGAUGCAGUA